GACGGAGGAUGCAAGUGUUAUCCGGAAUCACUGGGCGUAAAGCGUCUGUAGGUGGUUUAAAAAGUCUACUGUUAAAGCUUGAAGCUUAACUUCAAAAAUGCCGUAGAAACUUUAAACUUGAGUAUGGUAGGGGUAGAGGGAAUUUCCAGUGGAGCGGUGAAAUGCGUAGAUCUUGGAAAGACCACCAAUGGCGAAGGCACUCUACUGGGCCAUAACUGACACUAAGAGACGAAAGCUAGGGGAGCAAAUGGG
rnacentral:rRNA from 1 species